rnacentral:rRNA from 1 species
UACGAAGGGGGCUAGCGUUGCUCGGAAUUACUGGGCGUAAAGGGCGCGUAGGCGGCACUGUUAGUCAGGCGUGAAAGUCCUGGGCUCAACCUGGGAACUGCGCUUGAUACGGCAGAGCUAGAGGAUGGAAGAGGCUCGCGGAAUUCCCAGUGUAGAGGUGAAAUUCGUAGAUAUGGGGAGGAACACCGGUGGCGAAGGCGGCCACCUGGACGGUAACUGACGCUGAGACGCGAAAGCGUGGGGAGCAAACAGG